CUUUCCUUAAUUUUCUCUUCUGAACACUCCCCUUGGAGUCCAUCUUCACGCCACUUCCAUCCUUCUAGAAGGCCAAUCCUUGAUCCUAUGCUCCAUAGACCCACAAGCGAAACAAGCUCCCAUUCUCUUCUAACACUCGCCUCCAUGCCUUCUCCGACAAUCAGCACAAUGUGGCACCCCUGGAUUAGCAGCAGGGGGCCCUGCUCUAAUUGGCCCAUUAUUUCUGGCCCUAGUCCUAGGCCUUUGUCCAACACUCGAGGUCUCAGCCUCCCUCUUAUUCUUACCCC
rnacentral:lncRNA from 1 species